rnacentral:rRNA from 1 species
AAAAGCUCGUAGUUGGAUCAAGAGUACAACAGUGCAAGGUGGCCCCAUUGCGUCAGUGGCUCCGGUCGCUGGCGCGGUGGCGGACCUAACACCUUGCAUUAAACUGUUGUCUCUAACAGGCCGAAGCGGUUCCCUGUGAGUAGGCCACUUCAUUGGGGCUGAAAGCGAUCACGCAUUUACCACAUGCAUACGGGACGUCGGCCAAAGUUACUGUGAACAAACCAGCGUGUCCAAAACAGGCUUUCGCCUGAAUGUUCGAGCAUGGAAUAACAAGGGAUCGAUUCUCUCGGUUCUUUUUGUUGGUUUUUAACCCG